rnacentral:rRNA from 1 species
GUCGUAACAAGGUCUCCGUAGGUGAACCUGCGGAGGGAUCAUUACACAAAUAUGAAGGCGGGCUGGAACCUCUCGGGGUUACAGCCUUGCUGAAUUAUUCACCCUUGUCUUUUGCGUACUUCUUGUUUCCUUGGUGGGUUCGCCCACCACUAGGACAAACAUAAACCUUUUGUAAUUGCAAUCAGCGUCAGUAACAAAUUAAUAAUUACAACUUUCAACAACGGAUCUCUUGGUUCUGGCAUCGAUGAAGAACGCAGCGAAAUGCGAUAAGUAGUGUGAAUUGCAGAAUUCAGUGAGUCAUCGAAUCUUUGAACGCACAUUGCGCCCUUUGGUAUUCCAAAGGGCGUGCCUGUUCGAGCGUCAUUUGUACCCUCAAGCUUUGCUUGGUGUUGGGCGUCUUGUCUCUAGCUUUGCUGGAGACUCGCCUUAAAGUAAUUGGCAGCCGGCCUACUGGUUUCGGAGCGCAGCACAAGUCGCACUCUCUAUCAGCAAAGGUCUAGCAUCCAUUAAGCCUUUUUUUCAACUUUUGACCUCGGAUCAGGUAGGGAUACCCGCUGAACUUAA